GAUGAACGCUGGCGGCGUGCCUAAUACAUGCAAGUCGAGCGAACGGACGAGAAGCUUGCUUCUCUGAUGUUAGCGGCGGACGGGUGAGUAACACGUGGAUAACCUACCUAUAAGACUGGGAUAACUUCGGGAAACCGUAGCUAAUACCGGAUAAUAUUUUGAACCGCAUGGUUCAAGAGUGAAAGACGGUCUUGCUGUCACUUAUAGAUGGAUCCGCGCUGCAUUAGCUAGUUGGUAAGGAAACGGCUUACCAAGGCAACGAUGCAUAGCCGACCUGAGAGGGUGAUCGGCCACACUGGAACUGAGACACGGUCCAGACUCCUACGGGAGGCAGCAGUAGGGAAUCUUCCGCAAUGGGCGAAAGCCUGACGGAGCAACGCCGCGUGAGUGAUGAAGGUCUUCGGAUCGUAAAACUCUGUUAUUAGGGAAGAACAUAUGUGUAAGUAACUGUGCACAUCUUGACGGUACCUAAUCAGAAAGCCACGGCUAACUACGUG
rnacentral:rRNA from 1 species